CAGCAGUAGCCGCGGUAAUACAGAGGGUGCGAGCGUUAAUCGGAUUUACUGGGCGUAAAGCGUGCGUAGGCGGCUUUUUAAGUCGGAUGUGAAAUCCCUGAGCUUAACUUAGGAAUUGCAGUCGAUACUGGGAAGCUAGAGUAUGGGAGAGGAUGGUAGAAUUCCAGGUGUAGCGGUGAAAUGCGUAGAGAUCUGGAGGAAUACCGAUGGCGAAGGCAGCCAUCUGGCCUAAUACUGACGCUGAGGUACGAAAGCAUGGGGAGCAAACAGGAUUAGAUACCCCCGUAGUCCCUGUCUCUUAUAC
rnacentral:rRNA from 1 species